UACGUAGGUGACAAGCGUUGUCCGGAUUUAUUGGGCGUAAAGGGAGCGCAGGCGGUCUGUUUAGUCUAAUGUGAAAGCCCACGGCUUAACCGUGGAACGGCAUUGGAAACUGACAGACUUGAAUGUAGAAGAGGAAAAUGGAAUUCCAAGUGUAGCGGUGGAAUGCGUAGAUAUUUGGAGGAACACCAGUGGCGAAGGCGAUUUUCUGGUCUAACAUUGACGCUGAGGCUCGAAAGCGUGGGGAGCGAACAGGAUUAGAUACCCUGGUAGUC
rnacentral:rRNA from 1 species